GAUGAAGAACGUAGCGAAAUGCGAUAAGUAAUGUGAAUUGCAGAAUUCAGUGAAUCAUCGAAUCUUUGAACGCACAUUGCGCCCCUUGGUAUUCCGAGGGGCAUGCCUGUUCGAGCGUCAUUACACCACUCAAGCACUGCUUGGUAUUGGACAUCGUCCGUCGAAAGGCGGGCGUGCCUCGAAGACCUCGGCGGGGUUUCUCCAACUUCGGGCGUAGUAGAGUUAAAUCGAACGUCUUAUAAGCUUGGUGGGACUCCAUUGCCGUUAAACCUUUUAUUUUCUAGGUUGACCUCGGAUCAGGUAGGGAUACCCGCUGAACUUAAGCAUAUCAAUAAGCGGAGGA
rnacentral:misc_RNA from 1 species